AUAUAAAUAUCAGCCCUCUCUUGUUGAGUGGUUUGGAUGUGGGGGUUUGCUGGCCUCUUAAAGGGGGUUCAGCUCUCCUGAAAUGCAUUAGCAGAACAACCUGUUCAUUGGUGUGAUAACUAUCUACGCUAUUGAAUGUGAAGGGAAGUUCAGCUUUCUAACAGUCCUUGGACAAUUUACAUCAUUA
rnacentral:misc_RNA from 1 species